UUUGAAGCAGCCCACAGGGAAGGGUGUCACUGAGGAAACAAAACCCAGACCCCCCAGGCCUCUGGCUGAGGGGUGGGAGCAUGCUGGGAAAGCACUUCCACCUGAGAAGCACAAAGGACCCCAGGAGGAGAGGAAGCUGGCCUGAGGCCAACCGGAGCUUUGUGCACUGAUUCCCUGAUCCUCCAGCCUGACAGAAAUGUUUGCAAAGGAGCCUUAUUUGAAUAGGCAGCAUACGGCAUGGAGUAAAACACCCAAGAUGGUGCUCAAUGGACUAUGAUGACCUUGGAAGGGCCUAGGC